rnacentral:rRNA from 1 species
UACGGGGGGGGCAAGCGUUGUUCGGAAUUACUGGGCGUAAAGGGCUCGUAGGCGGCCAACUAAGUCGGACGUGAAAUCCCUCGGCUUAACCGGGGAACUGCGUCUGAUACUGGAUGGCUUGAGAUUGGGAGAGGGAUGCGGAAUUCCAGGUGUAGCGGUGAAAUGCGUAGAUAUCUGGAGGAACACCGGUGGCGAAGGCGGCAUCCUGGACCAACACUGACGCUGAGGAGCGAAAGCCAGGGGAGCAAACAGG